rnacentral:rRNA from 1 species
GAUGAACGCUGGCGGCGUGCCUAAUACAUGCAAGUCGAACGAAUCUUCUUCGGAAGAUGAGUGGCGAACGGGUGAGUAAUACAUAGGUAACCUGCCCCUGUGCGGGGGAUAACAGGAGGAAACUCCUGCUAAUACCGCAUAGCCAUGAGCACCGCAUGGAGCUCAUGCCAAAUAUCCUUUCGGGGAUAGUGCAGGGAUGGACCUAUGGCGCAUUAGCUGGUUGGCGGGGCAACGGCCCACCAAGGCAACGAUGCGUAGCCGGCCUGAGAGGGCGGACGGCCACAUUGGGACUGAGACACGGCCCAGACUCCUACGGGAGGCAGCAGUAGGGAAUUUUCGGCAAUGGGGGAAACCCUGACCGAGCAACGCCGCGUGAGCGAAGAAGGCCUUCGGGUCGUAAAGCUCUGUUGUAAAGGAAGAACGGCGCAUACAGGAAAUGGUAUGCGAGUGACGGUACUUUACCAGAAAGCCACGGCUAACUACGUGCCAGCCGCCGCAGUAA